UCUUCUCCCUGCCGUCAUGUCUAAGUCAGAGUCUCCUAAAGAGCCCAAACAGCUGAGGAAGCUCUUCAUUGGAGGCUGAGCUUUGAAACAACCGAUGAGAGCCUGAGGAGCCACUUUGAGCAAUGGGGAACGCUCACGGACUGUGUGGUCAUGAGAGAUCCAAACACCAAGCGUUCCAGGGACUUUGGGUUUGUCACAUAUGCCACUGUGGAGGAGGUGGAUGCAGCUAUGAAUGCAAGGCCCCACAAGGUGGAUGGAAGAGUUGUGGAACCGAAGAGAGCUGUCUCAAGAGAAGAUACAGACCAGGUGCCCACUUAACUGUGAAAAAGAUAUUUAUUGGUGACAUUAAAGAAGACACUGAAGAACAUCACCUAAGAGAUUAUUUUGAACAGUGUGGGAAAAUGGAAGUGAUUGAAAUCAUGACUGACCGAGGCAGUGGCAAGAAAAGGGGCUUUGCCUUUGUAACCUUUGACGACCAUGACUCUGUGGAUAAGAUUGUCAUUCAGAAAUACGAUACUGUGAAUGGCCACAACUGUGAAGUUAGGAAAGCCCUGUCAAAGCAAGAGAUGGCCAGUGCUUCAUCCAGCCAAAGAGGAUGAAGUGGUUCUGGAAACUUUGGUUGUGGAGGUGGUUUUGGUGGGAAUGACGACUUCAGUCGUGGAGGAAACUUCAGUGGUCGUGGUGGCUUUGGUGGCAGCCGUGGUGGUGGUGGAUAUGGUGGCAGUGG